UUCCAUAAUAGGGAAGGGAAUGGACAAGAGGGUUGAGAUUGGUGCUUGGCCCGUUGUCGUUUGUCAUCUACAGUGCAUCAAUGAUUCGGAUGAUAAUGAGACAGACUGGAUCAGCAAAUCUGCAGAUGACACCAAGAUUGGGGGCUUCGUGGACAGCAAGGAAGGCUGUCAAUUCUUGCAGCAGGAUCUUUUACUUUUUACCUUUUUACUUAUACUUUAUUGUCGCCAAACAAUCGAUACUAGAGCGUACAAUCAUCACAGUGAUAUUUGAUUCUGUGCUUUGCACUCCCUGCAGUACAAAUCAAUAGCCAAGCCUACGUAAUACUACGGUAUUUGACACGUAAUGAGUGUCAGAGAGGAAUUCUGCAGAUGCUGGAAAUUCAAGCAACAUACAUCAAAGUUGCUGGUGAACGCAGCAGGCCAGGCAGCAUCUAUAGGAAGAGGCGCAGUCGACGUUUCAGGCCGAGACCCUUCGUCAGGACUAACUGAAGGAAGAGGACUGUUGUGCAUGAAAAUCCCAGGAGAUCAGCAGUUUCCGAGAUACUCAAGUCACCCCGUCUGGCACCAACAAUCAAUUCCACUGUCAGAAGUCACUUCCAUUCUGAAAUUUGGCCUGAACAACAAAUGAACCUCUUGACCACAUCUGCGUGUGUUGCUGCCAAACGAUUGGCUAGUUAGGUAUUUUAAUUAAUGAGCAGGUGUAACUAAUAAAAUAGCCACUGAGAUAUAUGCCACUGUCAUUACAGCAAAAUAUCUCAAAUUACUUCACGGAAGAAAUAUUAAAUAAAAACUGAUUUAAAAAAAGAAGAAAAAAUUUCAAAUAUUUCAAAUGUUAGGGAGAAUCUUAAAAACGCGGCUAUUACAAUCAGACCUGAUUAAGAUGCCAGAUAACUCUGACAGCUCAGGAGGUUCUGGCAAGUUAGGCCAAGUGCACAUUUGAAGACAAAUACGAUAAUUUUAAAAUAUAGAUCAGCAAGUACAAGGUGAUAGGUAAGCAGAACAAUACAAGUUAGGAUAUGGGCCACACAGAUAUGAAUGACCUCGUUUAUAGAGGACGGUGAGAGAAGUUUGCCUGAAGACCGUUAUUGGAAAAGAAACAUGGGUACAUGUGGUAGCAGAGUAAUUACGUAUGUUUGACCUGACCAGGAAUAGAAACCUGAAGGAAUGAAUCAGAAAAUGUCUUUAAAUCAUAUGAGGAAGCCUACCAAACCUUGAUCCCCUGACUGAUCUCAACACUUCUCUUAUUCUCUAAUUUGCUUUGUUAAUGGAUGUUAGGUUGUCAUCUGAGUCAGAUUAAAGACUGAAAGAACAAUUAGCUUUAUUUGUCACAUUUACAUCGAAUCUCGAUACAGCCGUUUGCAUCCAUUCAAAUCAGCGAGGAUGGUGCUGGCUCCAGCCCACAACUUAAUAACCCUAACUGGUACCUGGAGGAAACCUGCACAGUCACGGGUACAGACAGUGGUGGGAAUUGAACCUCAAUCAAUGAUCGCUGGCACUAACCGUUCCGCCACAUGGAUAACACACGAACUUGUUUUGCUGGCUCAUACUACUACUACGUCGACUCAGGCCUAGGGGGCCUGCAUCGGGCACGAUGACAGACUCUCCACUUCUCCCUCUCCCUCAUCAGUGUGUUCAGUUCAUUGUCUUCUAGGAGCGUGUUGACCAUAGUCUUGGGUUUAUCCUCCCGUGGUUGGGCUCCCACAUAUGGCUCAUUCCCUCAGGCUUAUUCCUAGUCCGUUAUAACGACUCUAGUACCAUGCUCCAAGAUUAGAGACAGGCUAGCUUGUCCCCAGUCUACCAGCCCUAAUUCAUCCAUCUUUGGAAUGUGGGAGGAAACUGGAGCACCUGGAAGAAAUUAAGAGUUAACUUACCCCUGGCUGAUGCUGAGGUACAUCUUAGGAUGCGCUCAGACACGUCAUCAGUGAUGUAACCUGGGGUCAUCAGACACCCUCACCCAGGCGACCCAGCCAGGGUUGACCAGGCCCUGGAUUGUGUACCAGCGGUGGUGAUGCGCGGGUCACACCUCUUGAUCCUUCGCCAUCUGGAGGUUCGUUCAGCAGCCUCUGCGUUGGCCCUGAUGGCUCUUCACUUUACGGCCCCCACAUAAUCCCAAGGAGAGAGUAGGUUCUGCGGAGUCAGCAGCCAGCAAAGGCUCUACCCCCACCCCCUCCGUAAGCUCGCAUUGUGCCCUCCACCUCUGUCUCUGCUACUGCUCUACCAGCUCCUGCUAUUUGGCCCUCUUACACUCAAAAACCUCCUCAAUCCGGACUUCCCAAGGCACUGUCAGUUCUACCAAGACCACCAGCUUCGUGGUUUCUGACAGAGUGAUCACGCCAGGCCCCGGGGAUGAUGAUGCGAUGAAGUGAGGGAACUUUAAUUGCUUUAUACUUUACAAGUUAGUACCACAACCUUGCUUGUCAGUGAAAGUUAACACACCCCAGGGCGAAAGAGAGAACAAGAAACAAAAAGCAGUUUUUGUUUGGUUAGAGGUUUAAUUGGUUGUACCGAAAGAGUUAAAUGGAACAGCAUGCUCUGUCUGAGAUAACCAGAGCUGGCCACUGGUGGCUCGUGUUGAAGCAGCUGAAGUACUUUUUUUACAGCAGUUUAUAAAUAUGGUGACCCUAUUUAAAGGAUGUAGUUCAGACUGUGUCUGCAGUGUCAGCAGACUACAGCUUGGGGCGGCACGGUAGUGUAGUGGUUAGCACAAUGCUUUACAGUACCGGCAACCCAGGUCCACUUCCCACCGCUGUCUGUAAGGGGUUUGUUGGUUCUCCCCGCGACCGCGCGGGUUUCCUCCGGGUGCUCCGGUUUCCUCCCACAGUCCAAGGGUGACCCGGUUGGCAGGUUAAUUGGUCGUUGUGAAUUGUCCCGUGUUUAAGCUAGGGGUAAAUCAGGGGUCACUGGGCAGUACGGCUCGAAGAGCAGGAAGAGCCUAUUCUGUGCUGUAUGUCAAUAAGUAAAUAAACAGAGAGAAAGGACGAGGUCAGUCACUUAAAUCUGCAACAGCUUAGGGUAAGUGUGAAGGGAACUAUUUGAAAGUUGCAUCUCCAUCUGGUAUGGGAGCAGCCGAGCAUCGGACCAGAACUCCCUACAAAGGACAGUGAGAACGACCGAGAGGAUCAUAGGGGUCUCCCUACUAUCCACUGGGAGCAUUUAUCAAGAGCGCUGUGCACGCAGGGUCCUCAGUAUUAUUAAGGUCUCAUCCAUCCAUGAUUCAGCAUCCUCUUUGACUUUCUACCAUCAAGCAGGAGACUCCGAUGCAUAAAAACAAGAACUGACAGGAUGGGAAACAAUUUCUUCCCUCAGGCCAUUAGGCUUCUGAACUUGCCAUAUCAGAAUCAAAGUGUAGCCAGCUAAUCUGUUCUGUGCCUUACAAUAUUUAAUUUAUGCACUUUAUUUAUGCAUAAUUCAUCUGUAGAUUUUAUCCUUACUUUCAUAAAUUAUUGAGUGUUACUGUGCUUUACACCCUGGCUCGGAGAAACAUUGUCUCAUUUGACAGUAUACAUGUAUAUAAUUAAAUGACAAUAAAUUUGAUUUGACUUGAAAUAUAAAAUUUUGCAUUGGCCUUGAGACCAACACAAUGAUGGCAGGAGUGUAUCUUUUAUUAAAAUCUUUUCAGUGAGGCACGACUGUAAGGUAGCAUAGUGGUUAGCAUAACACUUCACAGUGCCAGCGGCUACCGGUCGGAGUUCAAUUCCCACCGCUGGCUAUAAGGAGUUUGUACCUUCUCCCUCUGACCACAUGGGUUUCCUCCGGGUGCUCUGGUUUCCUCCCACAUUCCACAAGUACAUGAGUCAGGGUUAGGGUUAGUAAGUUGCGUGCUGUCACCUGCACAGCCUCAGACUGUGUAGGCCGUUGACACAAACGAUGCAUUUCACUGUAUGUUUCGAUGCGCAUGUGGCAAUUAAAGCUAAUCUUCAAAUUUGGAACGUGGCUCAGUGCAGCUGUUCAUCAGUGGUUAAGGAACGGGGACAGGGGUGGGAUCAUCUCGGGACUCUGCAGUUGUCAAAUUCCUCAUUCCCACCGGCAU